AACCCAUAUUGAGGACAUUUCCGCAGGAGCUCCUUGAACUCGUCCCCAUUUCUCAAAAAGAGUCUCUAAUUGCUUUUGCACAAAAGAAGAUUUCUCAUUCCUAAGCUU